rnacentral:rRNA from 1 species
GUGGGGAAUUUUUCGCAAUGGGCGCAAGCCUGACGAAGCAACGCCGCGUGGAGGAUGAAGGCCUUCGGGUCGUAAACUCCUGUCGACUGGGACGAAAGCAGUCCGGGCUAAUAUCCCGGGCUGUUGACUGUACCGGUGGAGGAAGCCACGGCUAACUCUGUGCCAGCAGCCGCGGUAAUACAGAGGUGGCAAGCGUUGUUCGGAAUUACUGGGCGUAAAGGGCGCGUAGGCGGCUCGACAAGUCCCGCGUGAAAUCCCCCGGCUCAACUGGGGAACUGCGCGGGAAACUGUCGGACUUGAGUUCGGGAGAGGGAAGCGGAAUUCCGGGUGUAGCGGUGAAAUGCGUAGAUAUCCGGAGGAACACCGGUGGCGAAGGCGGCUUCCUGGACCGACACUGACGCUGAGGCGCGAAAGCUAGGGGAGCAAACGGGAUUAGAAACCCUAGUAGUCC